rnacentral:rRNA from 1 species
GACGAAGGAUGCAAGCGUUUAUCCGGAUUCAUUGGGUUUAAAGGGAGCGUAGGUGGACUGAUAAGUCAGUGGUGAAAUCUUUGGGCUUAACCCAAAAAUUGCCAUUGAUACUGUUGGUCUUGAGUAUAGUUGCCGUUGGCGGAAUAUGACAUGUAGUGGUGAAAUACAUAGAGAUGUCAUAGAACACCGAUUGCGAAGGCAGCUGACGAAACUAUAACUGACACUGAGGCUCGAAAAGUGUGGGGGAUCAAAACAGG